CCUACGGGAGGCAGCAGUGAGGAAUUUUCCGCAAUGGGCGAAAGCCUGACGGAGCAAUACCGCGUGAGGGAUGAAGGAUUUUGGUCUGUAAACCUCUUUUCUCAAGAAAGAAGUUCUGACGGUACUUGAGGAAUAAGCAUCGGCUAACUCCGUGCCAGCAGCCGCGGUAAUACGGGGGAUGCAAGCGUUAUCCGGAAUGAUUGGGCGUAAAGCGCCUGUAGGUUGUUUAUUAAGUCCGUUGUUAAAGCCUAGGGCUUAACCCUAGAAAAGCAAUGGAAACUAGUAGACUAGAGUAUGGCAGGGGUAGAGGGAAUUUCUAGUGUAGCGGUGAAAUGCGUAGAUAUUAGAAAGAACACCGGUGGCGAAAGCGCUCUACUGGACCAUUACUGACACUCAGAGGCGAAAGCUAGGGUAGCAAAAGGGAUUAGAUACCCCUGUAGUCCUAGCCGUAAACGAUGGAUACUAGAUGUUGUGCAUUAUGUACAGUAUCGUAGCUAACGCGUUAAGUAUCCCGCCUGGGGAGUACGCUCGCAAGGGUGAACUCAAAUGAAUUGACGGNNGNGAAGUGCGACGCGACGACGAGGGAGAGG
rnacentral:rRNA from 1 species